UUCAGUUCCAUUAUUUGAUCUGUUGACAGUUCAAUAGCAAGGAAUGAAACGCUCCGUAGGUUCAGUAUAUAUAAUUAGCUAUUUGACGUUCAAGUGCCUGGCAAACGAGGCCACAGAUCUUUGUAAAUUUGGGUUAAUCGAAGGCGACAUCCUGACGUUACAUUUGUGUCCUCUAAUUACCCGCCGUAAAUCGAGGCGCUGACAAAUAUUUUGACAUUGGCGACGCCGCCUGCCUCGGAGACAUUGUCACUGUGGUUCCAGGCCACUUGAUCCGAUCAUCCGACCCGAGCGCCGUUCUCUAAUGUGUGGUCGCCACUUGAGAUCCGGUAGCAGAGUUUUGGGACUGUGAAAUGUGAUACGAAAACUUGAAAAUAUCAAAACCCAAGUCACAGCACAAUUAAUAAAAAACUUUUUGAAAUGGAUUUUUUAACCAAUAAUGUUUGCAUUGAAUUUAAAGUCAACUAUCACAAUGUUGUUAAAUUGAGAAAAAUUGUUCAGUAUCAUUUUGAUUUUAGAACUUAGAGUAGAAACAUUUAAAUUAAAUAAUUGUGAACAUUUUCGGACACUAAAAUCCAGACAAAAUCAAAUCAGUAUGAAUCGUUUAAUAAGUACCUCGAUUUUAAAAUUGGGCGAAUCGUAUAUAUCGUGUUUUCGAAAUAUUGCUGGAUGUCCACAGCCGACAGAACUCAACGUGCAAGAAAUUUUAAGUAACAAGAAGUCGGAUCCAUGCAAAAAGAAGGAAGAUCCCUGCAAAAAGAAAGAUCCUUGCAAAAAGAAAAAGGAAGAUCCAUGCAAGAAGAAGAAAGACCCUUGUAAAAAGAAAGAGGAUCCUUGCAAGAAAAAGGAGGAUCCCUGCAAAAAGAAAGAUCCUUGCAAGAAAAAGAAGGAGGAUCCCUGUAAAAAGAAAGAUCCAUGCAAAAAAGAAGGAAGAUCCUUGCAAGAAGAAAGAUCCUUGCAACAAAGAUGAUUCCAACAAGAAGAAAAAGACUGUGUGUAAUAAAGUACUAACACCUACUUCUCCACGCUGCAAGGACGGUAAAGGCGGAAAGCAAAAAAAAUAAAUGUUGAGUCCCAUUAAUUUUUUCUGUCCACCGAAAUAAAGAUAUGCCAAUUUUAAAA